GGCGAGCGGUUGUUGUUGCAAGUUGCAAUGCUUCUAAGUUUCCAUUGCAUCACUCAUCAAAUUACACCUUUACACACCCUCACUUCCUUCCCUCACCACCACCGCCUCUCCACUCUCUCCCUCCCCUCCAAACCCUACCCGAGAUUCCCCCUUCCACUUCUCGCCUCUUCCUCCGCAUCUGUAUCCCGCAUCUCAGAAGAGGAAAUAUUAAUCGAUUACCACUUUUAUGGAGACAACGGAGAGGAGAAUUUCGGUUUCAAUAGCUCGUUUGAGUUGGCUGAGGUGAAGCGGUUUCAGUCUCCGGUGGUUGAGGUAAAGGAGCUGGAGGAGCUGCCGGACCAGUGGCGGAGGUCGCGAUUGGCGUGGCUGUGCAAAGAGCUUCCGGCGCAUAGGACUCCUACAUUUAUUCGGGUUCUCAAUGCUCAGCGGAAGUGGAUUAGGCAGGAUGAUUGCACUUAUAUUGCUGUCCAUUGUAUGCGUAUUCGUGAAAACGAGUCGGCAUUCAGGGUGUAUAAAUGGAUGGUGCAGCAACAUUGGUUUCAAUUUGAUUUCGCCCUUGUAACCAAAUUAGCUGAUUACAUGGGAAAGGAGCGAAAAUACUUGAAAUGCCGUGAACUAUAUAAUGAUAUAGUUAACCAGGGUCUAGUUCCUAAUGAAUCCACAUUUCAUAUCCUGAUUGUUGCCUACCUUAGUUCAUCUGGUCCAAGUUGUCUGGAGGAAGCAUGUAGCAUUUACAAUCAAAUGAUUCACUUGGGAAAUUACAAGCCCCGACUUAGCUUGCACAACUCUCUGUUUAGGGCUCUUGUGAGCAAAACUGGUGGCUCUUUUAAACAUCAUCUUAAACAAGCAGAGUUUAUCUAUCAAAAUCUGACAACAUGUGGAUUAAAAGCACAUAAUGAUAUUUAUGGUGGACUUAUCUGGCUCCAUAGUUAUCAAGACAUAAUAGAUAAAGAAAGAAUUGUAUCAUUAAGAAAGGAUAUGAAAUCAGCUGGUAUUGAAGAGAGUACAGAAGUUCUCGUGUCAGUGUUGAGAGCUUGUGCUAAGGAUGGAGAUCUUGCAGAAGCUGAAAGUAUUUGGACAAAGCUUCUUUCUUCCAAUAGUAAACCUCCACCUCAAGCUUUUGUGUAUCUAAUGGAGGUCUAUUCAAGGGCAGGGAAGCCAAUGGGAUCCCUUGAAACAUUCAGGGUUAUGCAAGAACAGUGUUCACCAAAUGUUGUGUCAUACUACAAAAUCAUUGAGGUAUUGUGCAAAGCUAAAGAGACGGAGCUAGCAGAGUCUCUUAUGGAUGAGUUCAUAAAUAGUGGCAUGAAGUCCUUGACACGGUCUUUUAUAGAUAUGAUGACUAUGUACACCAAUUUAAGCUUGCACGAUAAAGUGGAAUCCACUUUCUUCCGGUGCCUGGAAGAAUGUCAUCCCAAUCAGACAGUGUAUUAUCUGUACUUGGAUUCUUUGGUGCAAACCGGCAAUCUUGAUAAGGCAGAACUGAUCUUCAGCCAAAUGCAUGCUGAUGAGGCAAUUGGUGUGGAUGUCAAAUCAUGCAACAACAUCUUGAGGGGCUAUCUAACUUAUGAGCAGCAUGCUAAGGCAAGAAAGAUAUAUGAUUUGAUGUGUCAAAAGAAAUAUAAAAUUGAAUCUUCCUUGUUAGAGAAGCUAGAUCAUGUCCUGAGUUUGAGCGUGAAGGAAGCCAGAAAAUCAUCAAUCUUGAAGCUUAGCCAAGAGCAGAGAGAAAUCCUGAUAGGUCUACUAUUGGGCGGUUUAAGGGUUAAAUUAGAUGAUGAAAAAAGGAGUUACGCAAUUGAUUUUGUAUUUAGGGAGGGCAACAAGAUCCAUUCCUUUCUGAAAAGACAUAUACACAACCAAUUUCAUGAAUGGCUAGCUCGUAAAGUGCAGGUUGAUGACAACAAUGGUGAUAUUCCAUGUCAGUUUACAACCAUACCCCACUCUUGUUUUCAGUUGUAUGCCGACCAGUUCUGGCCUCAAGGCCUACCUGUGAUUCCUAAGCUAAUCAACCGGUGGCUAACACCUCGUGUUCUUGCAUAUUGGUAUAUGUAUGGGGGUUACAGGACUUCAUCUGGAGACAUUUUGUUGAAGCUGAAGUUCAAUAAAGAGGAUGUUACGCGGAUUGCCAAAACAAUCAAGGCAAAAUCAUUGAAUUGCCGUGUCAAAAGAAGAGGGAGAGUUUUCUGGAUGGGUUUUCUUGGAACUGAUGCCACUGAGUUUUGGAAACUAACUGAACCUUUUGUGCUAGCAGAUCUGAGAGAUUCUCUUGAAGCGAAUCAUGAGUCUCUAGAUGGGAGGUCCGGGCUCGAAAACGUAGCUUUUAGUAGCGAUUCAGAUGCUGAUGAUGGUAACACUUCUGAUCAAAGCGACGAUUAAGGUAGCGUGGGACCUAAUAUAUUCGAAUGGUAUGAAGCAGAGCCGUUGAAUAUGCGGCGAAUGGAUUCCAAUCCCAUUGGCUGCCACAUGUCUCCACGGCCGCCAGAGAAGAACUGUGUUAUCGCUGUCUUAUAUUUUGUCUCGAUCUUCUUCCAGAAAAUAAAAGCGGUAAGGUUUUAUGGAAGCCAUUGUGGGAUUGGAGAUUUCACAAGUAUGCCCCUCAAUGAGAGAAAACACCAUGAAGACAAAACUUAGAGAGAGAAGAUAAAAGAGGUGUGGAGAAUGAGGUUGAGGUUGGGCAGCUCACGUGAAUAGAAAGAAGGAAAUACAGGAGUAUGUAUUUGUAUGAGAUGGUUUCAUGUCGUCUUCUAAACAGCCCAUUCAUUAGGGAAUCUAUGUAGUAGUAUAUAUUUCACUUAAACAAUUGAAUACAACUCAUUGAUGAAUGGAAUAACUAACAGCCUCGAAUCUUAUUAGGGCUAUUUACGGAAGGUUCUUCCUAAAGCAAAUGUGAUACUCCUACUUAUUUUUUUUACUUUUUAUCCAAAAUAUUAGUACAGUAUUAU